rfam:Oribacterium sp. oral taxon 078 str. F0262 genomic scaffold Scfld0, whole genome shotgun sequence.
UGAUUCCAGUGUCGAAAGUCUGCUUCCACGACAUGCUUGCAUGAGAGAGGAAGCGAGACUUUAGGACACGCCCCCGCAUGAGCAAGGAGCGGGCCGAAGGGCCGCGGGAAUGCGAAUGAGGGGGGUAGCAUGGCGAGAGCAGCGAAGCGGCGAAGCCAUGCGGAAUCA